CCUGGUUGAUCCUGCCAGUGUCUAUAUGCUUGUUUCAAAGACUAAGCCAUGCAUGCCUAAGUACAGCUCGGUGGUAACACCGGGCGAAACCGCAGACGGCUCAUUAAAUCAGUUGUGGUCUAAGUGGGCGACAGUUUUCCCUAGUUGGAUAACUGUGGAAAAUCCAGAGCUAAUACAUGCGACUCAUAGUCCUGAGCAAACGCCGUACUUGUACGGUUAUUAACUCGGGAUGCUUUUAUUAGACCGAGGCGCGCGCAUACGUGAUUUAGCACCUCGUUUCGGCGAGACUGCGGUUACUUGUGCGACGUGGUAAGCGCUUAAAGGUGACUCUGGAUAACAUUGAUAAGCGUGGCUUAACUGACACGCUGCCUACUUACGAGUGACUGACCUAUCAGCUACUAACGUAUGUUAUACGCGAACGUUGGCUGUGACGGGUAACGGGGAAUCAGAGUUCGAUUCCGGAGAGGCAGCCUGAGAAACGGCUACCACGUCUAAGGACGGCAGCAGGCACGCAAAUUACCCAAUCCCAGCACAUGGGGGAGGUAGUGACGAUAGAUACUGAUGCGGGUCGUUCUUCGGAACACUCGCAAUUGGAAUGGAUAUUUUCUAAACACACUAAUGAGAACCUACUGGAGGGCAAGCCUGGUGCCANCAGCCGCGGUAAUUCCACCUCCAGUGGCGUAUGCCAAUGUUGCUGCGGUUAAAANGCUCGCAGUUGAAUGUCAGUNAAUAUACGCGUAGAGGUGCCGGGACGUUNNNAGCUUCUUUCGUCANAUCGUANCGAGCCGUCUCUCCAAGUGCAUCUCUCGCGGGCUAACGAUUCGAUUAGCGGGAUUGGUGAUNAUGACUUUCGGGUUAUCGUUCCCGAGUCCCGUUAGUUGACACCUUGAGUAAAUCAGAGUGCUUAAAGCANUCGUUGAAACACUACGGCUGCGACUUACCCUUGCGGGCUUAGUCGUGUGUCUGGUGACGGUGCGAGCCGUUUGGACAUUGUCUUUGCUUUGCAUGGUACGUCGAAAGACGCCGUGUGAGUUGGUCGCGCUUACGGUUAGUCGCACCUCCGGAGUGUGCGCGUGCGCCAACGAGCACGGAAUGAUCUGAAAGGGAUGGCUCGAAGGCAUUGGUAUUGCGGGGCUAGAGGUGAAAUUNUAUGACCCCCGCAAGACUACCCGAAGCGAAAGCGUCUGCCUAGGACGUCUUCAUUAAUCAUGAACGAAAGUUGAAGGAUCGAAGGCGAUCAGAUACCGCCCUAGUUGCAACUGUAAACGAUACCAACCAUCAAUCCGUCAUAGCGUUCUCUUUUGCUCACGGAGUGGAGCUUGCUCUCUUCGUGGGCUGAGUGUAAGCGCUCGAUGGGCAGCUCUUUUCGGACGGAAAACCAGAGUUUUUCGGUUCCGGGGGGAGUCUGGUUGCAAAGCUGAAACUUAAAGGAAUUGACGGAAAGGCACCACCAGGCGUGGAGCUUGCGGCUCAAUUUGACUCAACACGGGAAAUCUUACCAGACCCGAACAUCUUUGAUGAUUGACAGAUUGAAAGUUCUUUCUUGAUAAAGUGGAUGGUGGUGCAUGGCCGUUCUUAGUUGGUGGAGUGAUCUGUCUGGUUAAUUCCGAUAACGAACGAGACUUUCCCCUGCUAAUGAACCUUGGUGUUCUUUUAGACAGUGCGAUUCGGAACAAGGACCCAAGAGCGUAAGCUCCGGGACCGGACGAUGUCCACUGAUCCUUGGCGCGUCGUUGGUGUGUGCUUGCGCGCGUGACUGUUAUGGUUGCGUGUGCUUGCGUGCGCUUUCGGCAAAGCGUCUUGGAGUACGUUUCUUCUUAGAGGGAUUGACGGCUCUUAAGUCGUAAGAAACAGGAAGCAAUAACAGGUCUGUGAUGCCCUUAGAUGUUCUGGGCUGCACGCGUGUUACAAUGCCGGUAUCAACGGGUUCUUACACAUCUCGUGGCCUACUCCGAAAGGAGCGGGUAAACCUGUGAAAUACCUUGUGCGCUGUUUCACGAUAGUGCUAGUUCGGCAUGGUUGGGACUGGGGAUUGCAAUUAUUCCCCACGAAUUAGGAAUGCCUAGUAGUGGCGAAUCACAGAGUUCGCUGCGACUAUGUCCCUGCCNUUUGUACACACCGCCCGUCGCUACUACCGAUUGAGUGUACCAGUAAGAUUUUUGGACCGGCGAACCGAGAGCCUCCGUCUACCGGCGAACGACGCGAAGAGACUCAAACUGGUGCACUUAGAGGAAGUAANNGUCGUANCAAGGUUUCCGUAGGUGAACCUGCGGAAGGAUCAUUA
rnacentral:rRNA from 1 species